UACGGAGGGUGCAAGCGUUGUCCGGAUUUAUUGGGCUUAAAGGGCGCGUAGGCGGGCCUUUAAGUCAGUGGUGAAAGCCGACAGCUUAACUGUCGAAAUGCCAUUGAUACUGGGGGUCUUGAGUACAGUAGAGGUAGGCGGAAUUAAUGGUGUAGCGGUGAAAUGCAUAGAUACCAUUAAGAACACCGAUUGCGAAGGCAGCUUACUAGAGUGUAACUGACGCUGAGGCACGAAAGUGUGGGGAUCAAACAGG
rnacentral:rRNA from 1 species